AACGAACGCUGGCGGCAUGCCUAACACAUGCAAGUCGAACGAGACCUUCGGGUCUAGUGGCGCACGGGUGCGUAACGCGUGGGAACCUGCCCUUAGAUUCGGAAUAACUCCCCGAAAGGGGUGCUAAUACCGGAUAAUGUCUUCGGACCAAAGAUUUAUCGCCUUUGGAUGGGCCCGCGUUGGAUUAGCUAGUUGGUAGGGUAAAAGCCUGCCAAGGCGACGAUCCAUAGCUGGUCUGAGAGGAUGAUCAGCCACACUGGGACUGAGACACGGCCCAGACUCCUACGGGAGGCAGCAGUGGGGAAUAUUGGACAAUGGGCGAAAGCCUGAUCCAGCAAUGCCGCGUGAGUGAUGAAGGCCUUAGGGUUGUAAAGCUCUUUUACCCGGGAUGAUAAUGACAGUACCGGGAGAAUAAGCUCCGGCUAACUCCGUG
rnacentral:rRNA from 1 species